rnacentral:siRNA from 1 species
GUAACCGAUCCGAAGAUGGUAAAC